AAAAUUUUCCAUUGCCGCGAACUGCACAAGCCCCCAAACGACUUUACAUCACCAAAUUUUAACAUUUUGUUACAAAAUGCCGAUUUUUUUGGAGUUUACAUCUUGUACGAAGCUAAAUGCUAUUAAAUUUACGGUAUAACUUAGCAGAGAGGAGAAAAAUACCAAGCAAUGUUAACAAAAAAAUGAAAUGCUAAAAAAACACGCUGAAGCAAAAACAAAGCAAAUAGAAUAACGUAAGCAGCAUUGGAAAAACGUGUUAAAAAAGAAUCGAUCACAUGUUCGCUAAGACACCUUAAUUGUUCGACACAUUUUUCAUUUUAUUUCGUUUCGAUUUUUUUAUUAUUUUGUUUAGUGUUCAUUUAAUUUUUUUUUAUAUUUUUAUUUCUUAUUUUUUUCAUUUUAAAUUUUUUGUUUUUUUUUUUGUAUUUUUUUUUUGUUUUGUGAAAAGUUUCAAUAAUGACCAAUCGUUUAUUGCCGCUACCACCGCCGGCUACUGUACGUAUGCAUUGUGGCGCUUCCAGAGGCAACUUAUUGCUGUUGUUGCAACUUUUGAAUGAUUCGGUUUCAUUCAAAAAAUUUUCCAUUGCACACCAGCGCAAUACAAGUCAAAUAAAAUCAACAACAACAACGAAAAAACGUUUCACGUGCAGUUUAACCUGAUCUGGCGGCGUAUUGCCUUAAACGUUAUAUGCAACAAACGGACAAGUGAGGCAGCAAAGGCAGCAACAAGCAAUAGCAGUGAGUGCAACUCAAACUCAAGGCACUUGAAAGUAUGUAUUAAGUGCAUGUCAAUCGAAUGCUGAUUUCAACAAUCGCGCGCUGAAACGAUCAAUCUUACGCUUGAUUGAGGAGGCUUAAACGGUCAAACCUUUGGAACGCAGAGAAGGCUAAGUAGCGGAAUAACUAAAAAAAAAAUGUAUUUAAAAAUACAAAAAUAAUUUAAUAUACAUAUAAGUAUAUAUGUACAUACUUAUACAUAUAUAUAAAGCUUGAAAGAAGAAACAGAAGACAAAAAACAACGCUGCUCAUUAAAGGUGUUUAGCCAAAACUAUUAAAUUUUAUGUAUGAAAAUACAAACAAAUAAACAUAAAUACAGACCCCGAAAGACGCGAAUCAAGCCAGCAAAACAAAACCAAUAGCUAUGCAAGCGUCACCUGAACAAAAGAUGUGAGUACAGCGAAAGCAAAAAAAAAAAAAACAGUAAAAACAACAACAACAAACUAUUGUAAUACGCAAUACACUAACAACAGGUGGCAAUUUUACGCUAUACGAGUAAGUAAGCUUCAAUGGAAAGAAGCAGCAAAUUACAACAAACUCUCGUUGAUAGUAAGUAGAUAAAUGCUAGGCAAGUAAGUAAAAGGUGAAACAACAACAAUAGCAACAACACAGCUAUAUAGCUACCAUAUAUGUCUGCUGUUCAUAUCGCUAGUCUGCGUUGCGCCAAAAUGAAUUUGUUUUUCUCUAUUUUGAAUUUCUUCUUUUGCGCGAGAAAUGACAACGACCUAGUAAGACAUGCCGGGAUUGUGCUCUUCUUAUUUUAUUGUUGCUUUUUUACACUUUUGCAGGUGUUGUAUAUGUAUGCAUAUGUAAAAGUGAAUAUAUCUGUAUGUAUGUAUAAUAUGUAUAUAAAAGCAUAUGUAAAAGGUAAUGAGAUGAUGUAUGCUGGUGGAGCACAGUGUUUAAUAUCGCAAAACAUAUAAAAAAAUAAAAAUAAAAAAAUUGUAAAUUAGUAUAUUAUUUAAUUUUUUUAAAUAGUUUACAAUCUGGAAAAAAAACAAUGAUAAUAAUAUAUAUGCAAUACAAUAUCUUGAUUUUAAAAAUCAACUAUAUUCCAUAAACCUUUUUUAUAUUCGGGUGCUACCGAACAUUUUAUUCUCUCGCAAUUUAUUGAUGUAAUUUUAUAAAGAUAACACAAUUUGACUCAUAUAUUCGGCAUAAAGUUUAAUAGAAUAACGAAAAUCGUCAUAAAUAGUAUAUGGGGACUGAGGUAAUUCCUGAACCGAUUUCACUCAUUUUCACCACCAAGAUACAAUAUAUCAAAUCACUCACUUAAUUUUUCUAAGAUAUAUCGCAUAUUAACUGAUUUAUAAAGCCCAUCGUAUUUUUGAAAAACCUAUAAUUAGGUAUAUGGGAACUAGGAGAAGUUAUGACCCAAUCUCAUGAUACUCAAGAUAUUUUAACACAACUUAAGUUAUCCGUUGCAACUCGUCUCGUCAUCCUGAUCAUUUUGAUAUAUAGAACCCUUUUUUUUGCGAAAGUAUAAAAAUGCAAAUAUUUCUCUUCAAUUAAUGACUUUUUGUUACAAAAUUCAAA